AAGUCGUAACAAGGUUUCCGUAGGUGAACCUGCGGAAGGAUCAUUAACACGUAUCCAAACGUUAAACCCCCCUGUGAACCUUCAGUGUACUCGUACGUCCGUUAGAAAAAGCAGCAAUCCCUGGUAAAUCAUCGCCGAAUAGUUUUCGAUUCAGGGACGUCUGCAAGGAGCGUGCAUGUUGUGCGAAGCAAGUGGCCUGGCAUCCCCAAGCAGUUAGUGUCUGAAAGUGUCAUUAACUGUGUAAGGAUGACGCAGUCACGAUCGUUGGAGGCCCACACGGCCGACGACCGGGUCACUGGGCGCAAGCCCCCCUAUAACAAACGCUGCCAAUCGCGGCCGCGAUAAUACGCAGUCGACAAAAAACCGAACAACUGUUAACAAUGGAUAUCUUGGUUCUC
rnacentral:misc_RNA from 1 species